UAAUACGAAGGGGGCAAGCGUUGUUCGGAAUUACUGGGCGUAAAGGGAGUGUAGGCGGCGUAGCAAGAUAGGGGUGAAAUCCCGGGGCUCAACCUCGGAACUGCCCUUAUAACUGCUAUGCUAGAGCUAUAGAGAGGAAGAUGGAAUAUCCAGUGUAGAGGUGAAAUUCGUAGAUAUUGGAUAGAACACCAGUGGCGAAGGCGAUCUUCUGGCUAUAUACUGACGCUGAGGCUCGAAAGCGUGGGGAGCGAACAGGAUUAGAUACCCUGGUAGUCCACGCCGUAAACGAUGAAUGCUAGUUGUCGGGAAUUAUCUCGGUGACGCAGUUAACGCAUUAAGCAUUCCGCCUGGGGAGUACGGUCGCAAGAUUA
rnacentral:rRNA from 1 species